UUCAAGUUCACUCAUUGACGUGUAUCUUAUCUUCAACACGGGUUGCGAGUUUUCCAGGACCCGUACAAACCCUGCACAGCUGUAGGGAUCACUAAGCCACUCCAGCCUCACCACCACGGAGAGUUAAUCACCCAAGGAGAAGGUGCACCAUUUAGGUGCUGAAAGUCAGAAAGUGUCAAUGACUGCAUCAUUACCAAUACUUUCACUUUAAUAGAAGCUUAUACAGUACGUCUAAGUUUGACAGAGAUCGAUGCAUGCCCAAGAUCCCAAGAUCAAUGGAUGCCAACUACAACAGCACCACCUUUUUAAUAAAGCUGAAUUAGUGAAUACAGAGUCUGAUCGAAAAGACAGCAUAGCGAACUCAACAAG